CCUACGGGUGGCAGCAGUGGGGAAUAUUGGACAAUGGGGGCAACCCUGAUCCAGCGACGCCGCGUGUGUGAAGAAGGCCUGCGGGUUGUAAAGCACUUUUAGUAGAGAUGAAAAGUCCAAGGCUAAUACCUUUGGAUCUUGACCUAACCUACAGAAAAAGCACCGGCUAACUCUGUGCCAGCAGCCGCGGUAAUACAGAGGGUGCAAGCGUUAAUCGGAAUUACUGGGCGUAAAGCGUGCGUAGUCGGUUGUUUAAGUCGGAUGUGAAAUCCCCGGGCUCAACCUGGGAAUUGCAUUCGAUACUGGACAGCUAGAGUUCGGCAGAGGGAAGUGGAAUUUCCGGUGUAGCGGUGAAAUGCGUAGAUAUCGGAAGGAACAUCAGUGGCGAAAGCGACUUCCUGGACCAGAACUGACGAUCAGGCACGAAAGCGUGGGGAGCAAACAGGAUUAGAUACCCUGGUAGUC
rnacentral:rRNA from 1 species